UACGUAGGGUGCGAGCGUUGUCCGGAAUUAUUGGGCGUAAAGGGCUCGUAGGCGGUUUGUCGCGUCGGGAGUGAAAACGCCGUGCUUAACACGGCGCUUGCUUUCGAUACGGGCGGACUAGAGGUAGGUAGGGGAGAACGGAAUUCCUGGUGUAGCGGUGGAAUGCGCAGAUAUCAGGAGGAACACCGGUGGCGAAGGCGGGUCUCUGGGCCGAUACUGACGCUGAGGUGCGAAAGCGUGGGGAGCAAACAGG
rnacentral:rRNA from 1 species